UACGAAGGGUGCUAGCGUUGUUCGGAAUUACUGGGCGUAAAGCGCGCGUAGGCGGCUAUCCAAGUCAGGGGUGAAAUCCUUGGGCUCAACCCAAGAAUUGCCUUUGAAACUGGAUAGCUAGAGUGUCGGAGGGGAUAGCAGAAUUGCUAAUGUAGAGGUGAAAUUCGUAGAUAUUAGCAGGAACACCGGUGGCGAAGGCGGCUAUCUGGACGACAACUGACGCUGAGGCGCGAAAGCACGGGGAGCAAACAGG
rnacentral:rRNA from 1 species